rnacentral:rRNA from 1 species
GACGAACGCUGGCGGCGUGCUUAACACAUGCAAGUCGAACGGAAAGGCCUGCUUUCCCUUGUGGAUUGCGGGUACUCGAGUGGCGAACGGGUGAGUAACACGUGAGUGAUCUGCCCCCAACUUGGGUAUAAGCCUGGGAAACUGGGCCUAAUUCCCGAUAGGACUGCAGGGUGGUGCCUGUGGUGGAAAACGAUUUUCUAGUGGUUGGGGAUGAGCUCGCGGCCUAUCGGCUUGUUGGUGGGGUAAUGGCCUACCAAGGCGGCGACGGGUAGCCGGCCUGGGAGGGUGGACGGCCACAUUGGGACUGAGAUACGGCCCAGACUCCUACGGGAGGCAGCAGUGGGGAAUAGUGCACAAUGGGCGGAAGCCUGAUGCAGCGACGCCGCGUGGGGGAUGACGGCCUUCGGGUUGUAAACUCCUUUCGACCGCGAGGAAGCCACCUGGUUGGAAGGGUGGUGACGGUAGUGGUAGAAGAAGCACCGGCUAACUACGUG